UUGUUUAAUAGACCUUAUUAAAAUAUUUGGAAAUCACCUGAAAAGGUAACUUUAUACAAGUAUUCUUAAUAUAACCUCAUGUCAACGUCUUGGCCUUAUGCAUUGUUCCUUUGAUCAAAAGAUUGUACUUGACCAGAAUAAUGUCAACAAAACUCUUUCGUGUAUUCAGUUUUAAAUAAAGAAUAAAAAAUAAAACUAAAAAACGCUGUCAGCGAUCGUUUUUUGCCAGUUGAAUUUUUCAGUCAUACCGUAUACACUCAUUACCUAAAACCGCAUAAAAAUUAUAAAACAGUUUCCCCUUUCGAAUAAAAACAAAUAAAAUAUAUAUUUUAUAAGUGAAUUAUAAUAUUUAAAAUUAGUGAAGAUGGAUUGUGCUUUCUGCAACCGUACGAUGGAGGGCUGCGCGUCCAUAAAGUGCAGUCUUUGUGCGUCGCAGUACCACUUGGAGUGCGUGAGCAGUGAGCACCUGGUGCCGAGCACGAACACCUGGCGGUGCUGCCGCUGCGAGUCUCUCAACUCCGCCGCCACACAGCCCAAGAUCGACACUGCCGUCCGCGUGUAGAAUGUAACUUUGUUGUAACUGGUAAAUUGAUUGUGAACUUCCCACCAAGGCAUAUUUGGAAAUAAAUGUAUUUUGCUUUACAGUGAA